rnacentral:tRNA from 2 species
GCAGUUGUGGCCGAGUGGUUAAGGCGAUGGACUAGAAAUCCAUUUAUGGUCUCCUCGCACAGGUUCAAAUCCUCUCGACUGCG